rnacentral:rRNA from 1 species
CCUACGGGAGGCAGCAGUGAGGAAUAUUGGUCAAUGGACGAGAGUCUGAACCAGCCAAGUAGCGUGAAGGAUGACUGCCCUAUGGGUUGUAAACUUCUUUUAUAUGGGAAUAAAAUGUUCCACGUGUGGGAUUUUGUAUGUACCAUAUGAAUAAGGAUCGGCUAACUCCGUGCCAUCAGCCGCGGUAAUACGGAGGAUCCGAGCGUUAUCCGGAUUUAUUGGGUUUAAAGGGAGCGUAGGUGGAUUGUUAAGUCAGUUGUGAAAGUUUGCGGCUCAACCGUAAAAUUGCAGUUGAAACUGGCAGUCUUGAGUACAGUAGAGGUGGGCGGAAUUCGUGGUGUAGCGGUGAAAUGCUUAGAUAUCACGAAGAACUCCGAUUGCGAAGGCAGCUCACUGGACUGCAACUGACACUGAGGCUCGAAAGUGUGGGUAUCAAACAGGAUUAGAUACCCUUGUUC